rnacentral:rRNA from 1 species
AAUCAACGCUGGCGGCGUGCCUAACACAUGCAAGUCGAACGCGAAAGCCCGCAAGGGUAAGUAGAGUGGCGCACGGGUGAGUAACACGUGGACAACCUGCCUUCGAGUGGGGAAUAACCUUCCGGAAGGAGGGCUAAUACCGCAUAACACCUCGGGACACAAGUUCUGGGGUUAGAAAAGGAGCAAUUUGCUCGAAGAGGGGUCCGCGCCUGAUUAGCUAGUUGGUGAGGUAACGGCUCACCAAGGCUUCGAUCGGUAGCCGUCCUGAGAGGGAGCACGGCCACACUGGAACUGAGACACGGCCCAGACUCCUACGGGAGGCAGCAGUGGGGAAUCUUGCGCAAUGGGCGAAAGCCUGACGCAGCGACGCCGCGUGAGGGAUGACGGCCU